rnacentral:rRNA from 1 species
CCUACGGGCGGCAGCAGUGGGGGAUAUUGCACAAUGGGGGGAACCCUGAUGCAGCGACGCCGCGUGGGUGAAGGAGUAUUUCGGUAUGUAAAGCCCUAUCGGCAGGGAAGAAUUUAGACGGUACCUGACUAAGAAGCCCCGGCUAACUACGUGCCAGCAGCCGCGGUAAUACGUAGGGGGCAAGCGUUAUCCGGAUUCACUGGGUGUAAAGGGAGCGUAGACGGCCAGGCAAGCCUGGAGUGAAAGCCCGGGGCCCAACCCCGGGACUGCUCUGGGAACUGUCCGGCUGGAGUGCAGGAGAGGUAAGUGGAAUUCCUAGUGUAGCGGGGAAAUGCGUAGAUAUUAGGAGGAACACCAGUGGCGAAGGCGGCUUACUGGACUGUAACUGACGUUGAGGCUCGAAAGCGUGGGGAGCAAACAGGAUUAGAUACCCGAGUAGUC